rnacentral:rRNA from 1 species
UGGGGAAUAUUGCACAAUGGGCGCAAGCCCUGAUGCAGCCAUGCCGCGUAUGUGAAGAAGGCCUUCGGGUUGUAAAGCACUUUCAGCGAGGAGGAAAGGUGGUGAACUUAAUACGUUCAUCAAUUGACGUUACUCGCAGAAGAAGCACCGGCUAACUCCGUGCCAGCAGCCGCGGUAAUACGGAGGGUGCAAGCGUUAAUCGGAAUUACUGGGCGUAAAGCGCACGCAGGCGGUUUGUUAAGUCAGAUGUGAAAUCCCCGGGCUCAACCUGGGAACUGCAUUUGAAAACUGGCAAGCUAGAGUCUCGUAGAGGGGGGAUAGAAUUCCAGGUGUAGCGGUGAAAUGCGUAGAGAUCUGGAGGAAUACCGGUGGCGAAGGCGGCCCCCCUGGANGAAGACUGACGCUCAGGUGCGAAAAGCGUGGGGGAGCAAACAGGA